UUAUCUCUGUAGAGUCUGCAUAUCAAUAAGCGGAGGAAAAGAAACUAACUAGGAUUCCCUUAGUAACGGCGAGUGAAGCGGGAAGAGCUCAAAUUUGAAAUCUUCAAGGUUUUACCUUGACGAAUUGUAGUUUAAAGAAGUGUUUUCUGUUGGAUGUUUUGGUAAAAGUUCUUUGGAAUAGGACAUCAUAGAGGGUGAGAAUCCCGUAUUUGACCAUUACUUCCAGCUUUGUGAUACACUUUCAAAGAGUCGGAUUGUUUGGGAAUGCAGUCCAAAAUGGGUGGUAAAUUUCAUCUAAAGCUAAAUAUUGGCGAGAGACCGAUAGCGAACAAGUACCGUGAGGGAAAGAUGAAAAGAACUUUGAAAAGAGAGUUAAACAGUACGUGAAAUUGUCAAAAGGGAAGCGUUUGACACCAGUGUUGUUUUCUCGAAAAUCAAUUAAAAAAGGCAGGAUUUUGUGUUGUAUUGACUUUAUCAGCUUUCUGCACUCUUUUCUUGUCUUUUUUAAUGCACUUUUCGUUUAACAAGUCAACAUCAAUUUCUUUUGUUGUAAAAGGGUCAUUGGAAGGUGGCUUUCUUUUCGGAGAAAGUGUUUAUAGCCCUUGACUUCUGCAAUCGGAGAGACUGAGGUCUGCAGCGUAGAUCCUUCUGGAUUAGAUUCAUUUGUGCUAAGUUACAACCGUUUAUAGACAACUUGUUGACUAUAUUCGAUCCUGUUAGCUUACUCGCUUAUGUAAUUUUACCUACGCUUAGGAUGUUGAAGAUGUAGCACAUCAU
rnacentral:rRNA from 1 species